rnacentral:rRNA from 1 species
GGGCCCGCACAAGCGGUGGAGCAUGUGGUUUAAUUCGAUGAUACGCGAGGAACCUUACCAGGGCUUAAAUGUAAGUUGCAUAGAUCAGAGAUGGUCUUUUCUUCGGACUACUUACAAGGUGCUGCAUGGUUGUCGUCAGCUCGUGCCGUGAGGUGUCAGGUUAAGUCCUAUAACGAGCGCAACCCCUGUCGUUAGUUACCAGCAAGUAAUGUUGGGUACUCUAGCGAGACUGCCGGUGCAAACCGUGAGGAAGGUGGGGAUGACGUCAAAUCAUCACGGCCCUUACGUCCUGGGCUACACACGUGCUACAAUGGCCGGUACAGAGAGCAGCCACUACGCGAGUAGGAGCGAAUCUUCAAAGCCGGUCGUAGUCCGGAUUGGGGUCUGCAACUCGACCCCAUG